CCCAGGCGUCGAGUGGCGGACGGGUGAGUAAUACUUAGGAAUCUGCCCAUUAGUGGGGGACAACUCGGGGAAACCCGAGCUAAUACCGCAUACGCCCUACGGGGGAAAGCGGGGGAUCUUCGGACCUCGCGCUAAUGGAUGAGCCUAAGUCGGAUUAGCUUGUUGGUGGGGUAAAGGCCUACCAAGGCGACGAUCCGUAGCUGGUCUGAGAGGAUGAUCAGCCACACUGGAACUGAGACACGGUCCAG
rnacentral:rRNA from 1 species